AAUCAACGCUGGCGGCGUGCCUAACACAUGCAAGUCGAACGGGAAAGCGGGGGCAACUCCGUGAGUAAAGUGGCGACCGGGUGAGUAACACGUGACUAACCUGCCCUCGAGUGGGGAAUAACCCCGGGAAACCGGGGCUAAUACCGCAUAACUUCCUCGACACGAAAGUACUGAGGAUCAAAGGAGCAAUUCGCUUGAGGAGGGGGUCGCGGCCGAUUAGCUAGUUGGUGGGGUAACGGCCCACCAAGGCUGAGAUCGGUAGCCGGCCUGAGAGGGUGCACGGCCACACUGGAACUGAAACACGGUCCAGACUCCUACGGGAGGCAGCAGUGGGGAAUUUUGCGCAAUGGGGGAAACCCUGACGCAGCGACGCCGCGUGGAGGAUGAAGUCCCUUGGGACGUAAACUCCUUUCGACCGGGACGAUUAUGACGGUACCGGAAGAAGAAGCACCGGCUAACUCUGUGCCAGCCGCCGCCGUAACAC
rnacentral:rRNA from 1 species